rnacentral:tRNA from 1 species
GGCGGCAUAGCUAAGUGGUAAGGCAGAGGAUUGCAAAUUCUUUAUCCCCAGUUCGAAUCUGGGUGCCGCCU